rnacentral:rRNA from 1 species
GUCCACGCCGUAAACGAUGGAUGCUAGCCGUCGGCAAGCUUGCUUGUCGGUGGCGCAGCUAACGCAUUAAGCAUCCCGCCUGGGGAGUACGGCCGCAAGGUUAAAACUCAAAGGAAUUGACGGGGGCCCGCACAAGCGGUGGAGCAUGUGGUUUAAUUCGACGCAACGCGAAGAACCUUACCAGCUCUUGACAUUCACUGAUCGCCUGGGGAGACCUGGGAGUUCCAGCAAUGGACAGUGGGACAGGUGCUGCAUGGCUGUCGU